CAAGGGACGGGCGCGUGCCUAUACAUGCAGUCGAACGAACUUCCGUUAAUUGAUUAUGACGUACUUGUACUGAUUGAGAUUUUAACACGAAGUGAGUGGCGAACGGGUGAGUAACACGUGGGUAACCUGCCCAGAAGUAGGGGAUAACACCUGGAAACAGAUGCUAAUACCGUAUAACAGAGAAAACCGCAUGGUUUUCUUUUAAAAGAUGGCUCUGCUAUCACUUCUGGAUGGACCCGCGGCGUAUUAGCUAGUUGGUGAGGUAAAGGCUCACCAAGGCAGUGAUACGUAGCCGACCUGAGAGGGUAAUCGGCCACAUUGGGACUGAGACACGGCCCAGACUCCUACGGGAGGCAGCAGUAGGGAAUCUUCCACAAUGGACGCAAGUCUGAUGGAGCAACGCCGCGUGAGUGAAGAAGGGUUUCGGCUCGUAAAGCUCUGUUGUUAAAGAAGAACGUGGGUAAGAGUAACUGUUUACCCAGUGACGGUAUUUAACCAGAAAGCCACGGCUAACUACGUGCCAGCAGCCGCGGUAAUACGUAGGUGGCAAGCGUUAUCCGGAUUUAUUGGGCGUAAAGCGAGCGCAGGCGGUCUUUUAAGUCUAAUGUGAAAGCCUUCGGCUCAACCGAAGAAGUGCAUUGGAAACUGGGAGACUUGAGUGCAGAAGAGGACAGUGGAACUCCAUGUGUAGCGGUGAAAUGCGUAGAUAUAUGGAAGAACACCAGUGGCGAAGGCGGCUGUCUGGUCUGCAACUGACGCUGAGGCUCGAAAGCAUGGGUAGCGAACAGGAUUAGAUACCCUGGUAGUCCAUGCCGUAAACGAUGAUUACUAAGUGUUGGAGGGUUUCCGCCCUUCAGUGCUGCAGCUAACGCAUUAAGUAAUCCGCCUGGGGAGUACGACCGCAAGGUUGAAACUCAAAAGAAUUGACGGGGGCCCGCACAAGCGGUGGAGCAUGUGGUUUAAUUCGAAGCUACGCGAAGAACCUUACCAGGUCUUGACAUCUUCUGACAGUCUAAGAGAUUAGAGGUUCCCUUCGGGGACAGAAUGACAGGUGGUGCAUGGUUGUCGUCAGCUCGUGUCGUGAGAUGUUGGGUUAAGUCCCGCAACGAGCGCAACCCUUAUUACUAGUUGCCAGCAUUAAGUUGGGCACUCUAAUGAGACUGCCGGUGACAAACCGGAAGGAAGGUGGGGGACGACGUCAAAUCAUCAUGCCCCUUAUGACCUGGGCUACCACCGUGGC
rnacentral:rRNA from 1 species